rnacentral:rRNA from 1 species
GACGAACGCUGGCGGCGUGCUUAACACAUGCAAGUCGAACGGAAAGGCCCUGCUUUUGUGGGGUGCUCGAGUGGCGAACGGGUGAGUAACACGUGAGUAACCUGCCCUUGACUUUGGGAUAACUUCAGGAAACUGGGGCUAAUACCGGAUAGGAGCUCCUGCUGCAUGGUGGGGGUUGGAAAGUUUCGGCGGUUGGGGAUGGACUCGCGGCUUAUCAGCUUGUUGGUGGGGUAGUGGCUUACCAAGGCUUUGACGGGUACCCGGCCUGAGAGGGUGACCGGACACAGUGGGGUGGCGAUCCGGCCGCGGCUCCUAGGGGGGGGUGCAGUGGGGCAGAUGGACGGAGCGGCGGGAGAUGGGUGCCGAAACGCCGCGGGCGGGAUGACGCGUGUCGGGUGGUAACCCGCUUGCGCGUGUGCCGAAGCGGGGGCGAAGGUAAGGGGGAAAGAAGCACCGGACAAGCACGGACCAGCAGCCGCGCUAAUAAACAGAAGCGCACAAGCCUGAAC